CUUCAACACACCUGGGGUAGCCUCCGCUGGGUGGACCGGGAUCUCCCCCACCGGUCCAAAUCGGGGGGGGUAACGGGGCUUGCUCGUGUUGUAGGCAUCGUCAGAGUGCCUCCAGGGUCGGGAGAGCGGCCGCCUCUCCCCCGGAACGUUGUGUGCUAGGCCGCGGUGUGAGCGGGUCUUGAGCGGAUCUCUCACCCUUCCAUUGCACGCCCUCUGUUGUGGGGUGCUUAUGAUUAU